CUCCGUUGGUGAACCAGCGGAGGGAUCAUUAC
rnacentral:rRNA from 1 species